ACCUACGGGGGGCAGCAGUGGGGAAUAUUGCACAAUGGGGGAAACCCUGAUGCAGCGACGCCGCGUGAGUGAAGAAGUAUCUCGGUACGUAAAGCUCGUUCAGCAGGGAAGAAAAAAAGUCUUUGGCUUUGGACGGUACCUGACUAAGAAGCCCCGGCUAACUACGUGCCAGCAGCCGCGGUAAUACGUAGGGGGCAAGCGUUAUCCGGAUUUACUGGGUGUGAAGGGAGCGUAGACGGCAGCGCAAGUCUGGAGUGAAAUGCAGGGGCUCAACCCCGGAACUGCUUUG
rnacentral:rRNA from 1 species